rnacentral:rRNA from 1 species
AUUGAACGCUGGCGGCAGGCCUAACACAUGCAAGUCGAACGAGUGGCGGACGGGUGAGUAAUGUUUGGGAAACUGCCUGAUGGAGGGGGAUAACUACUGGAAACUGUAGCUAAUACCGCAUACCAUCAGAUGUGCCCAGCUGGGAUUAGCUUGUUGGUGGGGUAAAGGCUCACCAAGGCGACAAUCCCUAGCUGGUCUGAGAGGAUGACCAGCCACACUGGAACUGAGACACGGUCCAGACUCCUACGGGAGGCAGCAGUGGGGAAUAUUGCACAAUGGGCGCAAGCCUGAUGCAGCCAUGCCGCGUGUAUGAAGAAGGCCUUCGGGUUGUAAAGUACUUUCAGUGGGGAGGCGUUACCCGCAGAAGAAGCACCGGCUAACUCCGUGCCAGCAGCCGCGGUAAUUC